rnacentral:lncRNA from 1 species
CACUGCAGAUAUCAUUCUGNNNNNNNNNNNNNNNNNNNNNNNNNUCCGCUAGCUGGGUGUGUUGACGAGGUGUCCGCUAGCUGGGUGUGUUGACGAGGUGUCCGCUAGCUGGGUGUGUUGACGAGGUGUCCGCUAGCUGCCAUAUCGCCAACACACACGUCAUAGAUGAACUGUGAAAAGAAACCAUGAACAAUGAAACCGUUAUUUAACAUUUUAACCAGGGGGCAGAUUUAACAGCAAUUAUUUAAACACAUAAAUUAUUUAUUAAAUGUAAGACACAUAUUGAUGUAACCAGUUAAUGAUGCCACCUGUCAAAUUAUUUUAGAGGAUGGAACAAUUAUAAAUGUGUUUUUUUUCUGUCCAGAUCUGUCUACACUUUUAAGAUAUCCAGACGCAAUGCGUGUCUGUCUACCUCCGGGGAAGCAGGAUAUUCUGAUCACAAUGUGUCUUUUGAUUGUCUACACCUGUCUAGAAAAAGGUAGAUACAAUCAGAAUGUGGACAACAGGGCGCAAGUAAGAACCAGGUAUAAGAGGGUAUAAGAGGGGCUACGGUGUAACACUGAAACAAGAGCACCUAACAACAAAAAAUGCCUCAGAAGCUUUAAUCUCAUCUUCAAGCAGAGACAUUUCUAUGAACAAGUGAUACUAGUUUGCAGUAGCCUCGUUUAGAGACGCUUCACUCAGACUAUUUUUCAUUGCGGGUGGAUACAUCGUGUGAGUGCUGUGACUGAUCCAGUUAAUGACGCAAGCCUGGCUGGCGACAGCGAGUCUAGAAGUGUGACAGUUUCACAGUUUACAACAACUGUUGUGGAACGGAACAAUACUUCCGAUAUUAUUAAGAGCAUCCAUAUCGAGGGAUUUUCUCAAAUCAUAUUUAUCGGGACUCGGACGGAUUGUCCAGACCAGAGCAUAGUGGAAAAAACGAGGUCGGGAGACCUGUCAGCGAAUCCUGAUUCAAGAGCUUCUUGAUAAUGAGACUUUCCUGGACGUUGCCCAGACAGGAUGUCAGACAGACUGGUGUCCAAUCACUUUUCUCUCCAGGACUGGGGAAGAUGUUAAGAGGUCUUCCACGCUGAAGGUACAGAGACACAUUGAUAGGUGUUAACCAAGUUUGACCACUGAAGCUAAAUCCUGUAAUAUCCUUCAAUAACCAGGGGUAUACCAUAUACAGUUGAAAUCGGAAGUUUACAUACACUUAGGUUGGAGUCAUUAGAACUAGUUUUUCAACCACUCCACAAAGUUCUUGUUUAACAAACUAUAGUUUUGGAAAGUCUACUUUGUGCUGUGGUAGGUGUUGAGGUCUGUUCUGAUCCAUCAUGGAGUCUCCAUGUAGUAGGUGUAGAGGUCUGUUCUGAUCCAUCAUGGAGUCUCCA